CCUACGGGUGGCAGCAGUGAGGAAUAUUGGUCAAUGGGCGCGAGCCUGAACCAGCCAAGUCGCGUGAAGGAUGACUGCCCUACGGGUUGUAAACUUCUUUUAUAAGGGAGUAAAGUGAGGCACGUGUGCCUUUUUGCAUGUACUUUAUGAAUAAGGAUCGGCUAACUCCGUGCCAGCAGCCGCGGUAAUACGGAGGAUCCGAGCGUUAUCCGGAUUUAUUGGGUUUAAAGGGAGCGUAGGUGGGUUGUUAAGUAAGUUGUGAAAUGUUGGGGCUCAACCCGAAAAUUGCAAUUGAUACUGGUAGCCUUGAGUAUAGUUGAGGUAGGCGGAAUUCGUGGUGUAGCGGUGAAAUGCUUAGAUAUCAGGAAGAACACCGAUUGCGAAGGCAGCUUACUAAACUAUAACUGACGUUGAGGCUCGAAAGUGUGGGUAGCAAACAGGAUUAGAUACCCGAGUAGUC
rnacentral:rRNA from 1 species